rnacentral:rRNA from 1 species
UCCUAGCCGUAAACGAUGGAUACUAGGCGUGGCUUGUAUCGACCCGAGCCGUGCCGAAGCUAACGCGUUAAGUAUCCCGCCUGGGGAGUACGCACGCAAGUGUGAAACUCAAAGGAAUUGACGGGGGCCCGCACAAGCGGUGGAGUAUGUGGUUUAAUUCGAUGCAACGCGAAGAACCUUACCAAGACUUGACAUGUCGCGAACCCUGGUGAAAGCUGGG